UUAGAAAGAUUACGUCUGGAUUAUGUGAUAGGACAGCAACUGGAGAGCCCAGACCUCAGUAUUGUGGCACAGAUGACAAGAAAGAAUCUGAUAUGAGCUGGAGUCAAAGGUGAACAAAUUCAACGAGGAGAACUGAUGUCUAAUUUGAAAAGGCAACAUAACCAUUUGGGCAAGACCCAUGGUCCCAACUCCAGCAGGCACUCCAGUCUAAGCCACAGGCCAUGUCUACCAGAAAACAGGUAGGUUACCUACAGACCUUCUCUUUUCUCUGUCUCCCAAGUUCCAAUCCCCCUGUCUCAUCCCAGCUGUGUUGUAGAAUGCCUCUGGUAACCCCCCUCUCAUCUGCCAUAGAACCCACAGAUCUUACUCCUUCUAA
rnacentral:lncRNA from 1 species